rnacentral:other from 1 species
ACCGGGGUAGCACACACUACUUCGUCCUGAUUCAUAAGUAAUCGCAGCACUUCCAGCACUACCAGCUUCUUUAUGAAGCGACAAAUUACUCUGAAUGAAAGGACGGAAAUAAUGUCUACUACUGGUACAGUUAAAUGGUUUAACGAAGAAAAAGGUUUUGGUUUCAUCGAGCAGGAAAACGGCCCAGACGUUUUUGUUCACUUCUCUGCAAUCCAGGGCGACGGCUUCAAAACUCUGGCUGAAGGCCAGAAAGUUGAGUUUUCUGUUACUCAGGGCCAGAAAGGUCCACAGGCAGAGAACGUAACUAAGGCAUAAUUGCUUUAGUACUUCUAAAAAAACGGGACCUGGUGUCCCGUUUUUUGUG